CACCGCGGGCUUCAGAAGAAGAGAACACUGCAGAGCGCAGUCAGGAUGCAGCGGCCCAGUCUGAAGAGCAGUGAAACGGCCUACACGCGAGUCACUGUAUUUGUAUACAUGUAAUAGUUGCUAAUUGUAAAAAAAAAAAAAGUUUUCUAUUUCGCGGAUUUCACUUAUCGCGGGUCAUUUUCGGAACGUAACCCCCGCGAUAAACGAGGGAUUACUGUACAAGGAAUUUGACUUGGCAGCUGGUGCGUAACAUCAGACAGUACGACAACAGUGCACGAGGAAUAAAAUAACAAAUAAUGCUAUGGGUUAGUAGUAUAAGCCUAUGGGUUAGUUUAAAGUAAAGGAAUAAAAGUUUAAGUUAAAAAUAUUUAAAUAUUUAAAAAAUAAAGUGCACCUGCGAACAUAAAGUGACAAGUAAAAGUGACGUGUGCAGUGAGAAAGAAAGUGACCGGAGGAGUCAGUCAGUGGGGGACCGACUGCCGACGGGAAGAAACUGUUGGUGUGGCGGGAGGUCUUAGUCCUGAUGGACCUCAGCCUCCUGCCAGAUGGAAGGGGCACAAACAAGUUUUGUCCGGGGUGAGAGGGGUCGGCUACCAUCUUUUUAGCUGCUUCAGGGUCCUGCAGUGAACAAGUCCUGGAGACACGGCAGAUUGCAGCCGAUCACCCUCUCUGCAGAGCGGAUGACACGCUUUUAGGACAAGGACCCUGUUCCUUACUCGCUAACACAUCCCAGUCUGUUUUGGUUGCUUUUGUUAAUAUUUGGGAACAAGGAAUUUAACCAUUUCAAUGGUUUCCAACCCCGGACCCUUGCAGCCCCCUCCCUGAUGUCCCACCGCUUUGUUACCGUGCGUCGCGGCAGCCCGGCGGCUCGUAGCGGGCAGAUUCAGCCUGGAGACCAGCUGGAGGCAGUGGAGGGCCGAGGAGUUGGAGGUCUGCAGCACCGAGACCUGGCCCAGAUCCUCAGGAGGGCCGGGAACACCCUGAGAUUGAGCAUCACACCAACGCGCCACUCGUCCUCUCUGUUGAGGGGGGGCAGACCUGGACAUCGCUGGCCGGCUGGUGAAAGGAUCUAG
ensembl:lncRNA